GAUGAACGCUGGCGGCGUGCCUAAUACAUGCAAGUAGAACGCUGAAGGAGGAGCUUGCUCUUUCCGGAUGAGUUGCGAACGGGUGAGUAACGCGUAGGUAACCUGCCUGGUAGCGGGGGAUAACUAUUGGAAACGAUAGCUAAUACCGCAUAACAGUAGAUAUUGCAUGAUAUUUGCUUGAAAGGGGCAAUUGCUCCACUACCAGAUGGACCUGCGUUGUAUUAGCUAGUUGGUGAGGUAACGGCUCACCAAGGCGACGAUACAUAGCCGACCUGAGAGGGUGGUCGGCCACACUGGGACUGAGACACGGCCCAGACUCCUACGGGGGGCAGCAGUAGGGAAUCUUCGGCAAUGGACGGAAGGCUGACCGGGCAACGCCGCGUGAGUGAAGAAGGUUUUCGGAUCGUAAAGCUCUGUUGUAAGAGAAGAAAGAGUGUGAGAGUGGAAAGUUCACACUGUGACGGUAUCUUACCAGAAAGGGACGGCUAACUACGUG
rnacentral:rRNA from 1 species